rnacentral:rRNA from 1 species
UAACAAGGGUUUCCGUAGGUGAACCUGCGGAAGGAUCAUUA